rnacentral:rRNA from 1 species
GUCGAACGGCAGCACGGGUGGUGCACCUGGUGGCGAGUGGCGAAUGGGGAGCCUUAUCGGACGUACUUAUUGUGGGGGAAACGUAAAGAAAGCUGUGCUAAUACCGCAUAUCCCUAAGGGGGAAAGCGGGGGACCGUAAGGCCUCGCGCAAUUAGAGCGGCCGAUACCUGAUUAGCUAGUUGGUGAGGUAAAGGCUCACCAAGGCAACGAUCAGUAGCUGGUCUGAGAGGACGAUCAGCCACACUGGGACUGAGACACGGCCCAGACUCCUACGGGAGGCAGCAGUGGGGAAUUUUGGACAAUGGGGGCAACCCUGAUCCAGCAAUGCCGCGUGAGUGAAGAAGGCCUUCGGGUUGUAAAGCUCUUUUGUCAGGGAAGAAACAGCAGCUCUAACACAGUUUGCAAUGACGGUACCUGAAGAAUAAGCACCGGCUAACUACGUGCCAGCAGCCGCGGUAAUACGUAGGGUGCAAGCGUUAAUCGGAAUUACUGGGCGUAAAGCGUGCGCAGGCGGUUAUGUAAGACAGGCGUGAAAUCCCCGGGCUUAACCUGGGAAUUGCGCUUGUGACUGCAUAGCUAGAGUAUGUCAGAGGGGGGUAGAAUUCCACGUGUGGCAGUGAAAUGCGUAGAGAUGUGGAGGAAUACCAAUGGCGAAGGCAGCCCCCUGGGAUAAUACUGACGCUCAUGCACGAAAGCGUGGGGGAGCAAACAGGAUUAGAUACCCUGGUA